rnacentral:rRNA from 1 species
CCUACGGGGGGCUGCAGUGAGGAAUAUUGGUCAAUGGGCGGAAGCCUGAACCAGCCAAGUCGCGUGAGGGAAUACGGCCCUACGGGUCGUAAACCUCUUUUGCCGGGGAGCAAGGGCGGGGACGUGUCCCGGCCCGGAGAGUACCCGGAGAAAAAGCAUCGGCUAACUCCGUGCAAGCGGCGGCGGUAAUACGGAGGAUGCGAGCGUUAUCCGGUUUUAUGGGGUUUAAAGGGUGCGUAGGCGGUCUUUUAAGUCAGUGGGAAAAAUUCGGGGCUCAACCCCGUCCGGCCGUUGAAACUGGGGGCCUUGAGUGGGCGAGAAGAAGGCGGAAUGCGUGGUGUAGCGGUGAAAUGCAUAGAUAUCACGCAGAACCCCGAUUGCGAAGGCAGCCUUCCGGCGCCCUACUGACGCUGAGGCACGAAAGUGCGGGGAUCGAACAGGAUUAGAUACCCCUGUAGUC